UUUAGUUUGUUUUGGUUUUUGGCGACUCGCAUGUGAGGAGGCUGGUAGAUGGCUACAUUCAGAUGCUCGAGGGUGACCUGCUCUUUGGAUACAGCAGCACUCCAGGCGCUUGUGCAGCUGCACUCCGUAAAGAGGUGCUGAACGAAACCCUGCCUGAAGAGCCGGACCUGGUGUGUCUUAUUGCACCAGGGAACAACCUCUCGAAAAAAAACAUCCAACAAGCAGGGAAGGAGUUUGCCAGCCUUAUCCCUUCAGCCCAGGGCACUGGAAUAAGGUAGUGGUAAUUGAUUUUCCAAACCGGCUGACAGUGGAGUUCCCGUAUCAAGACAUGUUGCUAGAAGAGUACCAUCGAGCUGCAGCCAGCAUGAAUGUAAGGUACCUCUCCACUGUAGAUCACUUCCCUGCAAGGAGCUCUGACCUGUGGUGCCGUGACGGGGUGCAUCUAAGUGAUGACCAUGGAAUGCCCAUCUUUGCCCAACUGAUCUGGAGUGCAGCUUACUUCAGCUGAAAGUUCCACAGGGGAUCAAGACCACCCCUGCUGCACCCAGACGUGCAUUCCGCAGAGUGACCCCACGGCUGGUGGUGAGAGGGACGCCAGCUGCACCACCACAGAGACGAGAUCCUUACUCGUGGGCUGAGGUGACAAGAGGACAGAGUGAGAAGAUGUCGAAUAGUAAUUGCAGACGGUUCCACUUUGUAAGUAUAACAUACAUUUUUUAAAUUCUUUGUACUCAGAUAUUGUAUUAACAAAGAUUUAUGUCGGUUGAAAUGUCGUUAAUUAUAAUUAAUGCUAAAAUAAAUUAAUUGAUUGGAUUACUAUGUAAUAUUUUUUUAUAAUAAAAACAUUCAUGUUAACUUGUGUUUUUGUGAUACAAAAGUUAAACUGCACACAUUCGUUUCAUCAGAAAAAAAAUCCAAUACUUAACAAUAACAGGAGAUAUAUUUGAUCAUCCUUUAAUUCUAGAGCUUUUACAUUUGUUGUGCUAUUUGUUUUUCUUGUUAUGUUUUUCAUGGUAAAUGCCAUCAAUAAAAAUGCUUAUCAGUAAUAUAUCCCAAGCACAAGGCCAAAGCAACAUUGGAGUGGCUCAAGAACAAAAAGGUGAAUGUCCUACAGUGGCCCAGUCAAGGUCCUGAUCUCAAUCCCACUGAGAAUCUGUGGCACUAUUUGAAAAUUGCGGUCCACAAGCGUCGUCCAACCAACCUGAACAACCUGGAGCAAAUCUGCCAAGAAGAAUGGGCCAAAAUCACUCCGACACUGUGUGCAAAGCUGGUACAUACUUACCCCAAAAGACUUAAAGCUGUUAUUGCAGCGAAAGGUGGCACUACCAAAUAUUAAUGUGUGGGGGUUGAAUACUUAU